AGCAGUUGGUCGAAAGAAUGAGUGCGGAAAUAGAGAAAAAUAUAGGGAUUGUAAAAAUGGCGCAAACAAGAGAGAAAAUGAAAAAAAUAGAGAAAAAAAAAACAAGAAAUCAAAAACACAAAAAAAGGAAGGCAACUUCAACAUCGUCUUUGGAGACAGAAACAACUGAUAGUGACAAUUCUACCUCUGAGUCUGAGACUCAAGAAGACUCAGACGAUUCACCAAGAAAACAACCCAGCAAAAAAGGAAAAAAAAGCGAAGAAUCAUCACCGGUGAAGAAGCAAAAAAAA